AUUGAACGCUGGCGGCAUGCUUUACACAUGCCAGUCGAACGGCAGCGCGGGCUUCGGCCUGGCGGCGAGUGGCGAACGGGUGAGUAAUGCAUCGGGACGUGCCCAGUAGUGGGGGAUAGCCCGGCGAAAGCCGGAUUAAUACCGCAUACGACCUGAGGGUGAAAGCGGGGGACCGAAAGGCCUCGCGCUAUUGGAGCGGCCGAUGUCGGAUUAGCUAGUUGGUGGGGUAAAGGCUUACCAAGGCGACGAUCCGUAGCUGGUCUGAGAGGACGACCAGCCACACUGGGACUGAGACACGGCCCAGACUCCUACGGGAGGCAGCAGUGGGGAAUUUUGGACAAUGGGGGCAACCCUGAUCCAGCCAUGCCGCGUGCGGGAAGAAGGCCUUCGGGUUGUAAACCGCUUUUGUUCGGGAAGAAAUCCUCUGGGCUAAUACCCCGGGGGGAUGACGGUACCGGAAGAAUAAGCACCGGCUAACUACGUG
rnacentral:rRNA from 1 species